UGAGGUUUAUUUUCUCUGGGAAUAGUUGA
rnacentral:piRNA from 1 species